UCUACGUUAGCGAGGGCGACUCGUGAUUAGCUCGCAUAGUUCUUGAAAGAACCCAUAACUUGAUUUCCCACAAGAUAAGAAAACUGAAAUAGUAUGCUCAUUAGCCUCAAGUAUUCGAUUGCAUGCGGUUUUUAUGGUGCGAGAUCCCUCAUUCCAUAAGAAGAAGAAACUAGAAGCUAGAUACGAACUAAUAAAUAAAGAAAGAUGAAUAAACUAAAGU
rnacentral:lncRNA from 1 species